rnacentral:rRNA from 1 species
ACUCCUACGGGAGGCAGCAGUGGGGAAUCUUGGACAAUGGGGGCAACCCUGAUCCAGCCAUGCCGCGUGAGUGAUGAAGGCCUUAGGGUCGUAAAGCUCUUUCGCCUGUGAUGAUAAUGACAGUAGCAGGUAAAGAAACCCCGGCUAACUCCGUGCCAGCAGCCGCGGUAAUACGGAGGGGGUUAGCGUUGUUCGGAAUUACUGGGGCGUAAAGCGCGCGUAGGCGGAUUAGUAAGUCAGAGGUGAAAUCCCGGGGCUCAACCCCGGAACUGCCUUUGAUACUGCUAGUCUUGAGUUCGAGAGAGGUGAGUGGAAUUCCGAGUGUAGAGGUGAAAUUCGUAGAUAUUCGGAGGAACACCAGUGGCGAAGGCGGCUCACUGGCUCGAUACUGACGCUGAGGUGCGAAAGUGUGGGGAGCAAACAGGAUUAGAUACCCUGGUAGCGACUGA